UUACACUGAGAGUUGAGUGGAGCUUUUAUGAGGCUUACUAAAUUAGUUUGAAUUUGCGAAUAAACGACAAAAUUAACAAUGGCAAUAAUUAAUUUAUAAACAGAAAUUUUAUUAUUUUUUACAAAAUGACAAAAUUCAACAUCCUGCCAAUGGAAUUACAAUAUUCAGUUCAAUAUAUAUGUAUUUUUUAAAAAAAUUAAGUC